rnacentral:misc_RNA from 1 species
AGUAGGUAGCUUAACCUUCGGGAGGGCGCUUACCACUUUGUGAUUCAUGACUGGGGUGAAGUCGUAACAAGGUAACCGUAGGGGAACCUGCGGUUGGAUCACCUCCUUACCUAAAGAUAUUAGUUCGAGUGGCGUGCUCACACAGAUUGUCUGAUGAAAAAGUAACGAGCAAAAGCGUCAUAAAAGUACGGUGUCGUGUCCCCUUCGUCUAGAGGCCUAGGACACCGCCCUUUCACGGCGGUAACAGGGGUUCGAAUCCCCUAGGGGACGCCAAGCUUCCGACCCACCCGGUGAAAGCGGCGGUCCAAAGUAUCUGACGAUACACCAUAUCUUAAAGAUGACUUCCGAGUCAUGUUUAAGAUAUUGCUCUUUAACAAUCUGGAACAAGCUGAAAAUUGAAACAUGACGGCUGAAAUUUAUCCCUCCGUAGAAGUAUUGGGAUAAAGAGUAACCUGUCAUAGAGUCUCUCAAAUGUUUGCAGCGCGAACGAUGGAAACAUCUUCGGGUUGUGAGGUUAAGUGACUAAGCGUACACGGUGGAUGCCUAGGCAGUCAGAGGCGAUGAAGGGCGUGCUAAUCUGCGAAAAGCGUCGGUAAGGUGAUAUGAACCGUUAUAACCGGCGAUACCCGAAUGGGGAAACCCAGU